AGGGAGUUUUGAGUGAUAGCGAACAUACUGUAGAUGAAAGCGGGACGCUGAGGAGCAUCAGCGCUGUCAGAGCCUUUUUCAACCCUCAGGGACGGCCGGGGGCCGGCCGGCCGUCAGCAGCUCUGGAGUCAGCUGAGAGGUUGAGUCAUGGAGACGACGUGUGACCAGCUCGGCAUUAGUUCCUCAGUCCCCGAGAGAGUGAGCAGAGAAGAAAGCCGCUGGGUUCAAACUGCCCUCCAGUGGAGACAGUGUGUACUACACACAUGCUGCUCCUAGUCCCAGUUUGGUCUCAUUGUCCAGUCAGAGUGUUUCUUACCACGGCAGUCAGAUGUACAGUGGGAGCAGAAGACAUAAAUGUACUACAGAGACACAGGUAAGUAUUGUAAGUCCAGUACUUUGACUGGAAUGCUAAUAAGGCAGAUUGAUGGUGUCUGUCUAAAGUCCACGGUUUCAAAUCAAAUCAAAUCAAAAUCAAAAUCAAAAUCAAAAUCAAAAUUACUUUAUUUAUCCCCAAGGGUAAAUUCAGUGAGUCUGUUAGCUCUGUUAGAAUGAGACAGCCUGAUGGCUGUAGGAGAGAAGGAUCUUUUGAAUCUCUCCGUCCUGCAACGGAGAGAGAGGAGCCGUCCACUGCUGUUUUUUUGGUCCAUAAAGGUUUGUAGUGGAUGAUCUGGGUAUUUCAAGAUGGCCUCCAACAUGUUGACAGGUCAUCUCUCCACCACCUCCUCCUGUGUGUCCAACCUGACUCCAAGCACAGAACCAGCUCUUUAGACCAGUCUGUCCAACCGCCUUGCAUCUCUGUGUCUGAUGCUGCCUCCCCAGCAGACUGCAGCAUAAAACAACACACUACCACCACAGACUGAUAAAACAUCUGCAGCAUCUUACUACAGAUGUCCAGAGAUCUGAGCUUCCUUAAGAAAAAGAGGCAACUCUGCCCGUUUUUGUAGAGAGAGUCAGUGUUUCUGCUGUCCUCUGAGAACAGUAAAGUAACUGUUAAUGCUGGCUAGUUUUUCUUUCUGUCACUGAGUCUCAGAAGAAGAGUUCCUGCUCCUGUCUGGUACCACAGCACUGUGUGUGUCUGUGUGGAUGUGG